UGAUUUAAACAUGUCAUAAAAACUGUGCUUUAAAAAAGAGAUCCUAAAGGUGAGAAUGGGAAGUUGUUUCCCUUUUUCCUUCAGUUAUACUUGUUUGUGUGCAUUCUGUUAACUCCCCAUCUGUCCACCUGCAGCUGACCCUAUGGCUGUGUGUCGGGCACCUGUGGAAAUGCCUUGUAACCCAGCGCUGCAAGGGAGUUGCCAGCUGAGCUUAUCUGUUCUGUUGCGCUUGUUCCUGAAUGGAAAGUUUUCCCAGAGACUUCUCAAAAAGACAGCAAAGGUGUGGUCGUGUUUGCCAAGCAUCUGAAUGGUAACAUUUAAAGCCAGGCAGAAUUUGGAAGUUGAUGUUGCGCUCUCGGUUCCAGCUCCAGAGCAGGCUUGGCAGCAGCUAGUUCAUGUGUUGCUGCACUGUGCUGUGCUGUAUGCACGUCCCUUGUUUCACCUGCAGAUCAGAAAAAGUCAAAAGGUUUGGUCACCCAGUGUAGAAGAAAAGAAAACACCACUACUGGAUUGUCAAGACCCAGCUGUGCGAGCGACUGAGCCACUGAAGUUGCCAGUACAAUUGGAUUUGUGCGUAUGA
rnacentral:lncRNA from 1 species